CCUACGGGAGGCAGCAGUGGGGAAUAUUGGUCAAUGGCCGGAAGGCUGAACCAGCCAUGCCGCGUGAAGGUCAGUGCCCUAUGGGCGUUAAACUUCUUUUGUGCGGGAGCAAUAAUGGUCACGUGUGGCCAGACGAGAGUACCGUACGAAUAAGCAUCGGCUAACUCCGUGCCAGCAGCCGCGGUAAUACGGGGGAUGCAAGCGUUAUCCGGAUUUAUUGGGGUUAAAGGGUGCGUAGGCUGUGAGGUAAGUCAGCGGUGAAAUACCGAUGCUCAACAUCGGGGCUGCCGCUGAUACUGUAGGACUAGAGAUCGGAUGCAGCAGGCGGAAUGUGUAGUGUAGCGGUGAAAUGCAUAGAUAUUACACAGAACACCGAUUGCGAAGGCAGCUUGCUAGGCCGGAUCUGACACUGAUGCACGAAAGCGUGGGGAUCGAACAGGAUUAGAUACCCCUGUAGUC
rnacentral:rRNA from 1 species